CCGAGACCGCUACCUUCCUAUUCGAUGGAUGUGGGCUUGCCAAGAGAGGUCGCUACCGUACCGACAUCACAUGGCGCUGGUGUACUCCGUACAACGCUGGGAUUUUCUGUCGAUGCGAUAGAAAAGCUCCCAAACCAAAGCCUAUUUUUAUUUCUGCUUGUCAUGUUGAAAAGUUUUCCACGACGGAUACGUUCACCAUGAUUCAUUCAUCCCGUUUAGAUCCAACCAGCGUUUCAAUGAAUAAAAAAAAAGAAAACCAAAAAAAGAGAGCCUGUCCCCCGCUGGGCUAAAAUUGGCAAACUUGCGCUUACAGCUUUGAUCAGAGAGUAGCACCGCCAUUAUCGAUACUAGUACUCUGUGGAAAUACCACGAUUUAUUUUAAAGUUCCAUUGUUUUCUCAGCGAUUAUUAUUUCAUUUUUCUC
rnacentral:sRNA from 1 species